rnacentral:rRNA from 1 species
GACGAACGCUGGCGGCGUGCUUAACACAUGCCAGUCGAACGGAAAGGCCCUGCUUUUGUGGGGUGCUCGAGUGGCGAACGGGUGAGUAACACGUGAGUAACCUGCCCUUGACUUUGGGAUAACUUCAGGAAACUGGGGCUAAUACCGGAUAGGAGCUCCUGCUGCAUGGUGGGGGUUGGAAAGUUUCGGCGGUUGGGGAUGGACUCGCGGCUUAUCAGCUUGUUGGUGGGGUAGUGGCUUACCAAGGCUUUGACGGGUAGCCGGCCUGAGAGGGUGUCCGGCCGCAUUGGGACUGAGAUACGGCCCAGACUCCUACGGGAGGCAGCAGUGGGGAAUAUUGCACAAUGGGCGGAAGCCUGAUGCAGCAACGCCGCGUGCGGGAUGACGGCCUUCGGGUUGUAAACCGCUUUCGCCUGUGACGAAGCGUGAGUGACGGUAAUGGGUAAAGAAGCACCGGCUAACUACGUG